UAGGGAAUCUUCCGCAAUGGACGCAAGUCUGACGGAGCAACGCCGCGUGAGUGAAGAAGGAUUUCGGAUCGUAAAGCUCUGUUGUUAAGGAAGAACGAGUGUGAGAAUGGAAAGUUCAUACUGUGACGGUACUUAACCAGAAAGGGACGGCUAACUACGUGCCAGCAGCCGCGGUAAUACGUAGGUCCCGAGCGUUGUCCGGAUUUAUUGGGCGUAAAGCGAGCGCAGGCGGUUAGAUAAGUCUGAAGUUAAAGGCAGUGGCUCAACCAUUGUAGGCUUUGGAAACUGUUUAACUUGAGUGCAGAAGGGGAGAGUGGAAUUCCAUGUGUAGCGGUGAAAUGCGUAGAUAUAUGGAGGAACACCGGUGGCGAAAGCGGCUCUCUGGUCUGUAACUGACGCUGAGGCUCGAAAGCGUGGGGAGCGAACAGG
rnacentral:rRNA from 1 species